UACGGGGGGGGCAAGCGUUGUUCGGAAUUACUGGGCGUAAAGGGCGCGUAGGCGGCCUGCUAAGUCGGAUGUGAAAUCCCUCGGCUCAACCUAGGAACUGCGUCUGAUACUGGAUGGCUUGAAUCCGGGAGAGGGAUGCAGAAUUCCAGGUGUAGCGGUGAAAUGCGUAGAUAUCUGGAGGAAUACCGGUGGCGAAGGCGGCAUCCUGGACCGGCAUUGACGCUGAGGAGCGAAAGCCAGGGGAGCAAACGGG
rnacentral:rRNA from 1 species